CCUACGGGAGGCAGCAGUGGGGAAUAUUGGACAAUGGGGGGAACCCUGAUCCAGCCAUGCCGCGUGUGUGAAGAAGGCCUUUUGGUUGUAAAGCACUUUAAGCGAGGAGGAGGCUACCGAGAUUAAUACUCUUGGAUAGUGGACGUUACUCGCAGAAUAAGCACCGGGCAACUGGGAGCCAGCAGCCGCGGUAAU
rnacentral:rRNA from 1 species